CCUACGGGUGGCAGCAGUGAGGAAUAUUGGUCAAUGGGCGCGAGCCUGAACCAGCCAAGUCGCGUGAAGGAUGACUGCCCUACGGGUUGUAAACUUCUUUUGUCAGGGGAUAAACUCAGGCACGUGUGCCUGUUUGUAUGUACUUUAUGAAUAAGGAUCGGCUAACUCCGUGCCAGCAGCCGCGGUAAUACGGAAGAUUCGAGCGUUAUCCGGAUUUAUUGGGUUUAAAGGGUGCGUAGGAGGGUUGUUAAGUUAGGUGUGAAAGUUUGAGGCUCAACCGCAGAAUUGCCGUUGAUACUGGCAGUCUUGAGUGGAGGUGAGGUAGGCGGAAUGCGUGGUGUAGCGGUGAAAUGCUUAGAUAUCACGCAGAACUCCGAUUGCGAAGGCAGCUUACCAAGCUGCUACUGACGGUGAGGCACGAAAGCGUGGGUAUCAAACAGGAUUAGAUACCCGUGUAGUC
rnacentral:rRNA from 1 species